GAUGAACGCUGGCGGCGUGCCUAAUACAUGCAAGUCGAGCGAACGGACGAGAGGCUUGCUUCUCUGAUGUUAGCGGCGGACGGGUGAGUAACACGUGGAUAACCUACCUAUAAGACUGGGAUAACUUCGGGAAACCGGAGCUAAUACCGGAUAAUAUUUUGAACCGCAUGGUUCAAAAGUGAAAGACGGUCUUGCUGUCACUUAUAGAUGGAUCCGCGCUGCAUUAGCUAGUUGGUAAGGUAACGGCUUACCAAGGCAACGAUGCAUAGCCGACCUGUGAGGGUGAUCGGCCACACUGGAACUGAGACACGGUCCAGACUCCUACGGGAGGCAGCAGUAGGGAAUCUUCCGCAAUGGGCGAAAGCCUGACGGAGCAACGCCGCGUGAGUGAUGAAGGUCUUCGGAUCGUAAAACUCUGUUAUUAGGGAAGAACAUAUGUGUAAGUAACUGUGCACAUCUUGACGGUACCUAAUCAGAAAGCCACGGCUAACUACGUG
rnacentral:rRNA from 1 species